rnacentral:lncRNA from 1 species
AAUCUCGACUUGUCCAAAUUCGGUUUCGAGACAAUUCCCAUCUCGGUAGUUGGCUCUUUCUUGCAAUCGUCUCCUUUCCGAUCUUUAAUACAAUACAAUGGUACGUUUUACUACGUCGAUAGCUCGGAGCCAGGCGCCCCGACGAGCAGUAUGCUUGGCGAUUUCCAAGUGACUCUGAAGGAUAACACCACGGCGUCCGCUGAGCCCGUCAUAACGUGCGAAGCUCCGUCCGGCAGCUGUAACUGCAAGUGCUCUUAUUCUCAAAACAGUAGCAUUAAAGCAUUUCAAAGUCGGCUGGAGGACUACGAACCGCUUCAACGGUACAUUACGGUCGAAGAGGUUAGAAAAAAAACCGUGCUGAAAAUUGGAACCGUGAAGCAUUACAAUGCUCGAGUUAUCCCGAUCUUCAUGUGCGAAGGUGGCAGCUUUGGUCAUCACGAUGAUGUCUCUGAUCGUAGGGAUUGCAGCCUCCCUUUCUCCGGGAGUCUGGGUCGAUUGCGGGAAACUCAUGGUGCAAGGCUACAACUCUUGCCAAAUCAACCAUAACGACGAGGAGAUUCCGUAUGCAGGCCCCGAAAAAACGACGAUACCCAACUUGAGGUUUGGCCUCAUCACUUACGUAUGCGACCACGAGUUGGGCUACUUCAUGUCCGAAGUGGACUGCGAGAAAUGCGGCUUGAACUGCACGGAGGGAGCUUCCGUGGACCCGUCACCCUGCCCGGCCGACCCGACCCAAUUCUGGGCAGGACUCGUCAUGGGCGUGUGCGUGAACGUCUUGAUCGGAGCUCUCACUUACAAGCGACUUUGGCGCCUCCUGGAUAAGGUUCUAGCCCAGUCGGCCGACGACGUCGCAACUGGGACCCAAAAUCAUGACGCGGCCAAGUCGAGUAAGGAUGACUGGAGAGGGUAUCCGGUUGUUCCACCCUGGCAUGGUGACAAUGGUCCACCUUCAACUGAUCAUGAGUAA